rnacentral:rRNA from 1 species
GACGAACGCUGGCGGCGUGCUUAACACAUGCAAGUCGAACGGUAAGGCCCCAGCUUGCUGGGGUACACGAGUGGCGAACGGGUGAGUAACACGUGGGUGACCUGCCCCGCACUUCGGGAUAAGCCUGGGAAACUGGGUCUAAUACCGGAUAGGACCGCACCGUGAGGGUGUGGUGGAAAGUUUUUCGGUGUGGGAUGGGCCCGCGGCCUAUCAGCUUGUUGGUGGGGUAAUGGCCUACCAAGGCGGCGACGGGUAGCCGGCCUGAGAGGGUGGACGGCCAAAUGGGGACGGGGACACGGCCCAGACCCCUACGGGGGGCAGCGGGGGGGAAUUUUCCACAAGGGGGGGAAGCCUGAUGCAGCGACCCCGGGGGGGGGAUGACGGCCUUCGGGUGGUAAACCCCUUUCCCCAUCGACGAAGGUUUUCUGGCGGUAGUUGGAGAAGAAGCACCGGCUAACUACGG